GGCUGGUCUGAGUGCAGUGAUGUUUACAACUAAUUGAUCACAACCAGUUACAAAUUUCUUUGUUCCUUCUCCACUCCUGCUGCUUCUCUUGGCUAACAAAA
rnacentral:Y_RNA from 1 species